GUGGUUGCAAGGUUUUCAAUCACCACUAUAUCUGUUCUUCUUGCAGCAUCUCUGAGAAGCCGAGGAGUGCCAUUAUCCUAAAUCAUUUGUCUGAGAUCAGAGGAGGUGAGUGGCAGACCAGGGCUUGAAGCCAUGCCAGCGCUCUAAUCUCUGCCAUGUCCCUGCCUUCUGUUUAAUGUCUUUGUGAGUCGUUAGAAAAGCCUUCAGAGCACUGCCUUGCUGGGGAGGAUCUUUUUGUUGUCUAAUGUGCAAAUAUUCAGCACCAAGACACCUGCUUCUGCUCAGUGCCACAAAACCUAAAGUGUUCUGCUUGUAAAUGUGUGGAGAUGGAAAGCAGUGAAGUCAACUGACUGUAAACACCUGUUCAAUGAGCGGAUGAAUCUGGAAAAAGGUAGAAGAUCGUGCUAAAAUGUAAUGUCUACAGGAAAGAGGAAGCUCUGCAUACAGCCAUGAGCAAAGCACAUUGAUGUUGACAUGUCCUGGUGUUUCUUACUCAGUUUGCGUCUGAGAGCAGUGGAAGGAAGACUCAGUGCGUGAUGCUGGAGUAUUAUGCAUCAUUUUACAGGCAAAGAUCAAACAUCUUUGUGUUUGCAAGGUUGGUUAGUCAGCUUCUGUGCAGAAACAGGAAAAGUGCUGACAAACUCAACAGAAGAAGUUCUGUCUUGUGAUGAAACAGCCCAUGUUCUAAUGACUGGUGACAGCAUGGAGAACUAA
rnacentral:lncRNA from 1 species